rnacentral:rRNA from 1 species
AUUGAACGCUGGCGGCAUGCCUUACACAUGCAAGUCGAACGGUAACGGGCCUUCGGGUGCCGACGAGUGGCGAACGGGUGAGUAAUACAUAGGAACGUGCCCGAUCGUGGGGGAUAACGAGGCGAAAGCUUUGCUAAUACCGCAUACGAUCUACGGAUGAAAGCAGGGGACCGCAAGGCCUUGCGCGGACGGAGCGGCCGAUGGCAGAUUAGGUAGUUGGUGGGAUAAAAGCUUACCAAGCCGACGAUCUGUAGCUGGUCUGAGAGGAUGAUCAGCCACACUGGGACUGAGACACGGCCCAGACUCCUACGGGAGGCAGCAGUGGGGAAUUUUGGACAAUGGGCGCAAGCCUGAUCCAGCCAUGCCGCGUGCAGGAUGAAGGCCUUCGGGUUGUAAACUGCUUUUGUACGGAACGAAAAGCCUUCUUUUAAUACAGGAGGGUCAUGACGGUACCGUAAGAAUAAGCACCGGCUAACUACGUG